rnacentral:lncRNA from 1 species
GGCGGGCAGAGCCAGCCCCCUUCCCUGGCAGCUCCCCCACCCUCUGAAGGCAGGCACUCCAGGCACAGGGGCGGCACCUCACUACUCUCACUUCCACUUUUGGGACCACAGCACCGAAGCGGCACGGGGAAGCCAACACUCCAGCACUUGCUGAUGCCAUGAGGCAUGACUCUCAUGAGGACAGUCAAGCAGACCUGCUAAGAGGUGCAUACAGCGAGAAACUGAGGCCUCUUGCCAUCAGAUCAUGUGAGUGAGCCCUCUUGGAAGCAAAUCCUAUAGCCCCAGUUGAGCCUUCAGAUGACAGCAGCCCUGGAUAACAUCUUGAUGGAACCUUGUGAGAGACCAGAACCACCCAGACAAGCCACUCCUGGCUUUCUGACCCACACAAACCUUGAAAUAAUAAGUGUAUAUUGUUUUAGGCUACUACAUUUUGAGGAUAAUUUGUUAUGCAACACUAGAUAACUAACACACUACCUUUACUCACCAGAAUGGCUAAUAUUAAGAAGAUUGAUAGUAACAAGUGUUGAUGAGAAUGUGGAGCUACUGGAACUCUCACGGACUGCUGCUGGAAAUGUAAAUUGAAACAACCAUUUUGGAAAACAAUUUGGUAUUAUUUCUAUUACUUUCUAAAUAAUUGAAGGUAUGCAUUUCCAAUGACCCAUCCCUGAUGACCCAGCAAUUACACUUAUGGGAAUAUACCCAACGGAAAGGUGUAUGUGUAAAUGUGCGUAUCAGGAUACAUAUAUAGAACAUUCCUAACAGCAUUAUUUAUAAUAGCCCCAAGCAAAAAAUGGACCAAAAUUUCAUUCACAGUUCAUUCAUACAAUGGAAUACUGUAAGCUAUGAAAAUUAAGGAAUUAUGACUAUACACAAUACCAGGAAUAGGUCUCAGAAGCCUAAUUUGAGUGAAAGCAGUCUGACACAGAAAAGUCCAUGUUAUAUAAUUCUAUUUAAAUGAAGUUACCCUUGGUGAGGUGGAGGGGCCUCAGGGAGUUGGCCUCCCACCUCACCAAAUAAGACUCCAUGUCUUAUUCUUUACCUGGCUAGUGGUUACAUGGCUGUUCACUACAUGGUCUGCACAUUUUUGUUUUGUACCUUUUUGUGCAAAUGUACACUUUUAAAAUGAAUUACAAAACCACACAACCCAACAGCAUAACACCAAAAACCACAGUCCCAUGAGUCUGUCUUAACAGCCCUCAGAGUGGGCUCAGCAGAUCAUCCUGGUGUGAGUUCAGUGAGUGCUGUUUUAUCAGGGCCAAACCAUGCAGUUGGCCUGUGGUUCUCUAGGGGGCUUGACCUUCAGGAGUCCAUGGAAUGUGUAUUUCUUGGGUAAUUCUCCAUGAAAAAUAUUGCUUUAAUUAAAACUGGAGAACAGAGAGUUUGAGGUAACGUUCUCUGGUGAUAGCCUGACGUCCUGUUCCUCAGCUCGGCUGAUUCAAGGUCAAUUGCUAUUGUUUGAGUGUUUGUCCCCUCUAAAACUCAUGUUGAGGCUGGGUGUGGUGGCUCAUGCCUGUAAUCCCAGCACCUUGGGAGGCUGAGGCAGGC